rnacentral:rRNA from 1 species
AUUGAACGCUGGCGGCAUGCUUUACACAUGCAAGUCGAACGGUAACAGGGUGCUUGCACCGCUGACGAGUGGCGAACGGGUGAGUAAUGCGUCGGAACGUGCCGAGUAGUGGGGGAUAACGCAGCGAAAGUUGUGCUAAUACCGCAUACGUACUGGGGUAGAAAGUGGGGGACCUUCGGGCCUUACGCUAUUCGAGCGGCCGACGUCUGAUUAGCAAGUAGGUGAGGUAAAGGCUCACCCAGGCGACGAUCAGGAGCGGGUCUGAGAGGAUGAUCCGCCACACUGGGACUGAGACACGGCCCAGACUCCUACGGGAGGCAGCAGUGGGGAAUUUUGGACAAUGGGCGAAAGCCUGAUCCAGCCAUGCCGCGUGUCUGAAGAAGGCCUUCGGGUUGUAAAGGACUUUUGUCAGGGAGGAAAUCCCUAGCGUUAAUACCGCUGGGGGAUGACAGUACCUGAAGAAUAAGCACCGGCUAACUACGUGCCAGCCGCCGCGGUAAAAC